CCGAUUGGGCGACCGGAAGCAGGGAGGGGAAGAUGGCGGAGUGAAGGGGAAGAAGUGGAGCGAGAGCCGCUGCGGGCUGCGGCCCGGGGGCCCCAGCUGGGGUCCAAGCGUAUAUCAUAGUAUUUGGCAGUCAACAUUUACAUUAACUGAAAGCUAAAGGUGAUAAAAUGAUCAGUGCAGCAUGAAAUGAAAGAGAAAUUGUAAUGGAAUUGGAAGCAAGCAAAUGUCCCUAUCGUCCAAAAGGGAGAAAAAUCCAGGAAUGAUCCAUCACUAGAGGUCUUUUCCUUUUGACCCGAGAGGCUGUUUUUAAAGAGUUGUUAUUCAUGAAUGCCCAUCUUGAGAAGAAAACUCUUCCUUUAUUUUUCUAACUGGAAAUGAAGAAAUGCUGCUUUGGUCCUUUUACAGGUCCUCAUCAUAAAAAAUCAUCACAUGAAGCAGAAUUAUACAGGUGGAAAGUACAAUCCUUGCAAAGCAACUAAAAUGAAUAUAUAGACUUUCACAUGAACCAUGCUUUUGCUUAUGUUUUUUGCCCUCUAAAAGUGAUUGUGCAUUACAUUAUGAGCAAUUGUCAAUUCUUGUUGACACUUUGAUUCAUUCAAUAUACUUUAGUAAAAUAAGUCAAUCUUUGGAGAACCUAACAAAUCGGUAUGCUCUUGACAUACCGUCUCAGAAAUCUUGAUGAAAAAUUGUGGCAGAAGGACCAGACUGUACAUGUGUUAUAAAAGAAAAAAGAGAGUUUGAAAGAUUUUCCACUGAAAAAUUUCCUUCCUAAAAGAGCCAGUUUAUAAUUAGAUUUUAAUUGGAAUCUUGAUGCAAGUAAAUCUUGAUGCAAUUAUGAACAGUUGCAUCAGUCAAGUUAUGUAUAAUUGAAUGUACAUAAAAGCUGGAAAGUGGGGAGAUUAAUAAUAUGUCCCACAAAAUGAAAGUUGGGGCAUUAAAGUUUAGAAAGCCUUGCGCAGUAGAAUUAACUGGGUAUCCCAAUUCUUUCCUAAGGAAUUCAACAAUAUAAGGAACAAUGAUGAAACUGUUCAGGCUUUUUCCUGAAAGGAACAACAAUGCCACUAUAACCUUGUAUGUAAAACUCCACUGCUUAGAUGAACAAAAGUUAGACAUGCUCAGGAAGGGCUUCUUUAUUCUUUAUAAGUCACCCAGAAUUAAGCUGGGAAUUGUGUUCUAAACAUGCUUGCAGGACAUUCUUUGCAUCUUGUUUGUUUCUACUGGACUCUUUCAAGCUGGGAUAAAAAGCUGCUUUUUGCCACAAUGGGUGCAAAGGCCUAUGUCUUCUUCCCUUGCUGAGCCACGGAGCACCUUAUUUCAGUUUUUAUUAAAAUGUUAACAUAGGUUCGCUAAUAGUUUUAACAAUAGCCUCAAUCUUAGUUAAAGGAAGUACAUUUGAUAAUUGUUAGUCAUAGCUAAGAAUGUUGAAUGUUUUUGGCUGAUUGUUAUUUUCAAAGGUAAAGUAGUGGCUGCUAGAAGAACAUUUGGGAUGUUUGUAUGUUUUAAACAGUUUUAAUAAGGGCAAAGCAUUUGUGUUUGCUUGUCAUCAUGAUGUGUUUAGCUUAGAUAUGAUAAAAGAGUAAACAUUUUUCUUUCUUUGAAUAAAAAUGAAAUGGAGGUAGUCCUCAUUUAGUGACCAAACUGGAACUGGCAUCUUGAUUGUUAAGCAAAGCAGUCAGUAAAUGAAACUGACCUAUCGUUGAGAUCUUUCUUUAACUUUCCUUUGCUUUACAGACCUGUGGAUGUCAUAAAUGCAAGGAUUGGUUGUAAAGUUACUUUUUCCUCACCAUUGUAACUGUGGCAUAGAUAAUAAGAACUAAAUAAGGACUACCUGUAGUGUUGUGGUUUUUUUAAGUGUUGCAAUAGAACACUUUCAGAGGAAUUUAAAUCUAUAGCUACAGAACAAAAAUGAAAUAUUUAAUAGUCAAAAGAGUUGUGAAAUAUGGAAAUUUACUCAUACAAACGUUUCAGUUUUAAAAUAAUGUGGAUAUCUUUUGGGUUUAUCAAGGUUUCAGAAGUAAAACUUAAUGAAGUUGUUCUCUGCAACUCUUACUAAAAAUUAGAAAGCAGCAUGAAUUUAAUCAGCUACUUGGAUGUUGUUUUAGCUAUUUAUACCUCAGAGAUAUUUUGUGGGAAAGAUAAUACAGUACAUUGGGACAGAAGGGGAAUGUAAUUCAGUUUCCCAAAUCAUUAGAAAAUUAUCAUUAUUUAAGAAGAAAAUCAAUUUUUAAAUGCCACUGUAAUAAUUUAUCUAUUUCUAUUGAAUACGGCUGCAUUAAGAGUAAACUUAGCAUUUGAGAAAAACAACACUGCUCUCUAUGUCCGGGAAAUCAUUUUAGUUUAGUUAUCCAUGUGCAUCUCCUUAACGGGCAAUAUUCACAGGCAAUAUUGCCUUAAUUUUUUUUAAGUUUUACAUACUCAUUUGUUGUCCACCUUGGCAAGAAAUCUUUCACAUCUGAAAGAUGAAGCAAAUAUGGGGCAUGUGCAAUAGUAUAAUAUAUACAUAUAAAUAUAUUUUAAUACUUGUGGACAAAAUGUUACAAGUUGUUUGAGAACAACAAAAUCACCAAUGUCUUCCAUUUUAAAAUGUGUAUAGUUCCAUAAGCAUUAGUGCUUUGUAGCAAAACUGUAGUGCCAUGUUAGGAUCAGUGCAUGAGCCUAGUAGUACUUUUUUUACGAUUUCAGAGUGACAAAUUAAUGAAGCUGAUGAUGUAACGUAUAGGAAACUGACAUGGUUAUGGUCAUGGUCUAAAGAUGCAGUGUCCUUUCUAGGCAAUGGUAGAAGAAACUGCUGCAUAGAAUCAGUGAGAUGUGAAUUUCAUAGUGAUUGCAUGAAAAUAGUCUUUAAUCAGCCAGGUAUAUUUUGAGUGCACUUAAACUGCAUGUAAAAACCCCAAUAGAAGUAAUAAUCUUUAACAAAACCCCUUGUGGAUCAUGGAAUAUUUUGCUAUAAUGAAAAAAAAAACCUGAUAGUGUAAAGUUUUAAGUUUUAGGGACUAGAAUAAGCAUAGAACUAGCAUUUCCCAUUCAUGCUUUUUUCCUCAAAAAGUUUUAGUAUGUUUUUGAAUCAGAUUUGUUGGUUGUUUUUGUGCUUGCAUCAAGACAGGAAUGGGUAACCUUUUACAGUGUAUCUAUUGCUUGUAGAAACUGAAUGAUAGAUUGGGGCUUGCAUAUAUCUGCCAAUGUGGCAGCUGUUAAGAGUAGCAUCUUGCAAAAUUGACUAAUCUAGAAAUGCUAUCACUGUACAGCUAAUUCUGAAUGCACCUAAGUUAUUAGCAUUGCUCAUUAUUAAAAUCUCUUUUUUUUUGCUUACCUCGCUAUUUUAGUAAAGCAUUUGUUGGAAUUUUCUUACUAAUUAAAUAUUUAGUCAAAUAUCUAUAUUUAUAUUACAGUAAUUAAUCAGUAGGUUUCCCCCCUCUUUUCUGAAAUUACUGCGUGCGUUAGGUAACUCAUUUACUUAAAACUUUAUUUUUGGUUUAAACAACUCAAAUUUUAAGUUAUGAAUCUAGCUCUUUGUAGAUCUUUAUGGUUUAAAUGCUACUUUUAGCUUAAAGGGGAUACUGCAUCUUUAAAAAAAAUAACUUCUCUAUAAAUGGCCACCUUGAUGAGAGAAAAGAUGUCUCUGUAUUUCUUUAUUGACAAAACAUAAUAUGAUACUUGGACUGUAACUGUUAACUCAGAGAACUGCAGAAUUACUUUUAAAGAUCUCUCUCUCUCUCUAUUUUCUCAUGAAAGUGGCAAGGUGUGCCGUUUAGAGAUGAAUUGGGAGGACCUGAGCUCUUUUGGGGCUCUCUUGUGAACAGCAGUAUAAUUGAAUGAAAUGGGGCUGAUGAUUGGGAGAAUUGAUGGAAAAAUACCUCUGAAACUGGAAUGCAAAAUAGCACAGUAUGUAGGGGGGGAAAUCCCUGAUGCAAAUAAAGCCAUAAGAUGACAAUAAAUAGAACUUUAGUAGCAAUAACUGUUUGCAUGUAAUAGGACUUAACUUGCAUUGGCAAGAAUAGUAUAGUAGAAUAAGUGGUAUUAACCAAAUAGGUUUGCUGUGCUCUGUGCUGCAGGAAGUUGAAUUUCUCAUUAAAAGGCUGGUAAGUUCCUCUCUACCACAAAACUCUGUGCUUGAAUGCUACAGGGAGAAGCUUGGCAAAAAUUCCAGAAUAAUUUUAUUUUUCAAAAUUGAAAUAAUUAGGAAAAAGGUUUAUUGUGUAUCAAACCAAUGAAAACUUAACACAGAAUGUUUAUAGAUAAUUGAUCAUCAUUUCUGUAGUAAAAGAACCCUUGGAGCUGGGUUCUACCCAGGGAUAUAAUUUAAGAGUUUGGGGAGCCAAAUGUUUGAACCGAAUUGUGAAUUUCUCUUAAAGUAGUGCUUGUAUAAUUCUUUUAUUCAUUUUCUUUUAUAAGCAAAUCUGAUGUGGUUUCACUUUUUUUUAAAUUUUAUAAAGCUACUUGUAGACGUGGAAGAAGGAGAGCAAGUUUGCCUGGCAAAUUCUUUCUUUCAUCAUUCUAGAGUGCGCAGUUUAUACCUCUUUAAAAUUCAGUUGCACUAACUUUGUAUGCAUGUGCAAAUUGAAGACCAAGUAAAUUGUAAAUCUAAUAUAGAAAUCUGCCUUAAGUGGGAUUCGAUUGACCAGAUUCAUCUGCAAGACUGGGACAUAUAUUUAAAGAAAAUGGCUUUACUUUUAUUUUUGUUCUACAUUCUUUGAUAUCUAUCAUUUACCUACAUGGAUAAGGUGGCAGUUUUAAAAUAAAAUGCAUAUACACACAUGCAUGCAUGUUUAUACAUAUUCUAUAGAACUUUCUGCUCUACGUAUUUAUACUGAUCAAUGAAAUUUAGCACAGGUUUUCUAAAAUGUUCAGAAGUUUAAUCAAACAUUUAUGUAGACAAAUAGUUGAUAUGUUUGGGUGACUUUGGAUCACAAAAUUGAUAGGGGGGUAUUCAUUAAACUCACAAACAAUUUUUCUAACCCUGGAAAUUAUUUACACUUACUGUGGUUGCCUAUGUGAUUAUUUAAAUACCAAUUUGCAGAAUCCUAAAAGUAUCUUGUAUCUAUGUCAGUACAAUUUUCACUGCUCCCAUGUUUUGAGCAGCUAAUUUACAGUUUUUUUGUGGGCUCAGCUGGUGCUAGGCUGAAUAUAACAUUGCUCGUAGAAAGUUUUACUCUCGUAAUCUGAGUCACGAGUGUGAGGACUCAGGAUUGCAUGAAAGACUUGAAUGUGGUGCUGCUAUUCUGGAAGAACUAGUUAGACUGUUGUUAAUUGCUUGCUAAAGCAUCUGAAUCGCAGCCUCAUCGUAGCGUACAUUACUGUCUUGAUCUAAGUGAUAAGGGACUAUAGUAUUGGUGGAAAUUUAAUACUGAAAUACAAUUCUAAAUGCGGAUGAGAUAAAAUUCUUGUGGCUCUUCAUUGUACUUGGCUAUUCUCUGUGUAGCUUUUCCUUUCUUUGAUUGUAAUAAUUUGUUGAUAGCUCUUAAUUUUUGACUGCAGAUCAGCUUCAUUGAAACAAUAAUACUAUUAUUGAAAGACUUCAUAGAGCUAGCAUUUCAUCCAUCAAUAUUUUAGUACUUUUAAAAAUAUUUUAAUCAGCACCUACUCUCUAAAUUUUAUGGUGAAAUUCCUCUUAAUAUAGACUUUCCUUUGGAUUUUUAAAUUUUCCUUUAUUUUGCACUUUGAAAAACAAUAAAUCAUGUAAGAAUUCAAGCACAAUAUUGACACAUAGGUGCCAGAAAAUAGCUCUCACAAACAGGCUUCUGGAAUACAGAUUACAAGUAGUUCUUUGAUCUAGAGAAACGAAGAUGGAUUGAGGUUUUGCAUUCAGUUUGUAUGCUUGGGAUGGGUUACGAGAGGAGCCCAUAUAUAGAGAAAGAAGCAGGGGAAUUAACUGUUCCAGAAAUGUGGAAAAAUGGUAGCUAUGCAUAGUGCAUACAUGUAUACAAAGAUUGCUGGAAUAAAUACAUUGAUGUAUCUCUUAACAAAGGGGAAUAAAAGAACACUUAUGCAUGGGUUUGUUAUUGGAAUCUGAAAAUGAUUAGAGAAAGAAUGCAUGUUGGUUAUGGGAGGAUUAGGGUGACUAUUUCUUGCAUUCUAGAGAAGAAAACUUGUGCAGAGAGGAACUGAGUUCAUUCUAGGAACAUGGGAAAUGAAUGAUGGAAGCUUUGAAUCUGAACACUUCCUAGCUGGUUUUAGAUGGAAUUUCCAAGUUUACCAAGUCACAGCACAACAAAUAUUCCAUAAAGUGUAGUAUUUCUUAAGGACUGGAUAUUGCAAUUCUUUUCUUUUCCGUGCAGGUGAAGACAGAUAAGGUUACAAAGCUGUCAGAAUGGAAUACUUGUGUGGGAAAAACCACUGGCACAAGCACAUAGACUCACAAACCGUCUUUUUUUAGAGAUAGUAUUCUAAUUAUGCAUGAUUAAAAUGUAUAGUGUUAUAGCUAUUAUCAGUAAAUUGAUAUAUGCAUUUAUACAUUAUGAAGCAAUAGGAACCAAUAUACCAAUAGCUUGAAUUUACUGCUUUGAUUCUCAGUUUUUUUAGACAACAUGCUGCCUCUUUAGUAAAGGGGCAAAAUGUACAAAGAAGGGACGAAGCAUGACGCCAAAACUGUGUAUUAGAAAAAGGAACCAGUAGAAUGAACCUUUUUAGCCUCUUACCAAGUUCAUAGCAGCUCAUGAACCUACAUGAUAUGAACAUGGUUAACGGCAAUUUGGGUUUCUUGGUUGCUGCAGUUGUACAAACAAAAAAAGGUGCAGAGUUUCAGAGCACAAAAAAGGGAAUAUAUAAAUCCCAAAUGGGGCAAUAAAAAUGAUCUAAGCAGUUUAGGGCUUGUGGUUAUUUUUAAGUAGAGAUAGUAAAUUUAGCCAGAGCCUGUUGCAGCUAAAAAACAAUGAGUAAUUAAAAUGAGUAAGCUGUCCAUACUUUUCAGGUAUUAAUUCUUUCUAAAACAGGUGUAGCUUUUCAGUUUCCCCCACCACCACUUUGGCAGCUGGAUUAAAAUGAACUGGUUUUAAACCAGCAAUAAUGAUAACUUAUAUUAUGAAAACUGGAGAUAUUUAACUCUUCAUUCAAGCUGUAAAUAAGGUGUAGCUUUUUUGAUCAUCUAGAGCAGUGGUGUCAAACUCAAGGCCUGAGGGCUGGAUGCAGCUCAUGGGGUGCUUAGUGGGCUUGUCUGCAAACACCAAAGGACCAGCCCGCAGUGUCUCUGCAAGCAAAAACUAGCUUGGGGGGGGUCACCCCGUUUCCAGCCUGCAGCUCUCUGCCAGCAAAAGCAGAGGUCGGGGGCUGUGCCCACCACUGGCCCCACCCACCCCCAACCCUGAGGUCAAACACAACCCUGAUGCGGCCCUCAAUGAAAUCAAGUUUGACACCCCUGAUUCAGAGGAUUGAUAAGACUCAAGUUUGAACAAUUGGUGCAGCAGAACAUGUGUAGAUACUAGAAAUAUUAUAGCAGCAUAGCUGUUGCAGCAGAGUCUGUGUUUGCACAUAUUUUUCCUAUUAAGAUAUGCGAAAAAGAAAUCUUGAGUUUGAAUCUUUAGAUUGCACUAGUUUGCAAAAAGGCAGUCUUAGCUUAUCUGAGUACUAGUGUAUCUCAAAGUUUGACCUUUUUUCUAGGUGUGAAUAUUUGUUAAGGCAUAGUUGUGCAUUUUGGGGUUUGUAAUUUUCCCAGUUAUACACAUUUCCAACCAUAUUUUUGCACAAGUGUUGCCAGUAAUCAGUAAUUUUAUAUUACUACCGGUAGACCUAUUGAAGUUACAAUUGAAGUCUUGCAAACCACUGUAACAA